GCAGCACGGAGAGCUUGCUCUCUGGUGGCGAGUGGCGAACGGGUGAGUAAUACAUCGGAACGUGUCCAAUAAUGGGGGAUAACGAGUCGAAAGAUUCGCUAAUACCGCAUACGCCCUACGGGGGAAAGCAGGGGACCGUAAGACCUUGCGUUAAUGGAGCGGCCGAUAUCUGAUUAGCUUGUUGGUGAGGUAAAGGCUCACCAAGGCGACGAUCAGUAGCUGGUUUGAGAGAACGACCAGCCACACUGGAACUGAGACACGGUCCAGACUCCUACGGGAGGCAGCAGUGGGGAAUUUUGGACAAUGGGGGCAACCCUGAUCCACCCAUUCCGCGUGAGUGAAGAAGGCCUUCGGGUUGUAAANCUCUUUCGCAAGGGAANAAAACUUAUGAUCGAAU
rnacentral:rRNA from 1 species